UACAGAGGUCCCGAGCGUUGUUCGGAUUCAUUGGGCGUAAAGGGUGCGUAGGCGGCGGGGCAAGUCUGAUGUGAAAUCCCGGGGCUCAACCCCGGAACUGCAUUGGAUACUGCCUUGCUAGAGUACUGGAGAGGGAACUGGAAUUUACGGUGUAGCAGUGAAAUGCGUAGAGAUCGUAAGGAAGGCCAGUGGCGAAGGCGAGUUCCUGGACAGUUACUGACGCUGAGGCAACGAAGGCCAGGGGAGCAAACGGG
rnacentral:rRNA from 1 species